UACGUAGGUGGCAAGCGUUGUCCGGAUUUAUUGGGUUUAAAGGGUGCGUAGGCGGCUUUGUAAGUCAGUGGUGAAAUAUGGCAGCUCAACUGUCAAGGUGCCAUUGAUACUGCGGAGCUUGAGUACAGAUGAGGUAGGCGGAAUUGACGGUGUAGCGGUGAAAUGCUUAGAUAUCGUCAAGAACACCUAUAGCGAAGGCAGCUUACUAGGCUGUAACUGACGCUGAGGCACGAAAGUGUGUGGAUCAAACAGG
rnacentral:rRNA from 1 species